GCUGGGAUAGCUCAGGUAGUUAGAGCAUUCGCCUGAAGAGCGAAGGGUGGGCAGUGCAAAUCUGCCUCCCAGCA
rnacentral:tRNA from 1 species